CUACGGGAGGCAGCAGUGAGGAAUCUUCCGCAAUGGGCGAAAGCCUGACGGAGCGACACCGCGUGAAGGAUGAAACCCUUUUCGGGCGUAAACUUCUGUUCUGAGGGACGAAAUUUUUGACGGUACCUCAGGAGAAAGCACCGGCUAAUUCCGUGCCAGCAGCCGCGGUAAGACGGAAGGUGCAAGCGUUACUCGGAAUUACUGGGCGUAAAGCGUCCGCAGGCGUCCUUAUCAGUCUGGCGUGAAAGCGCGUAGCUCAACUACGCGUCUGUGCCGGAAACUGUAAGGAUUGAGUUAUGCAGAGGCAUCUGGAAUGCCAUGUGUAGGGGUAAAAUCCGUUGAUCCAUGGUAGAACGCCAAAAGCGAAGGCAGGAUGCUGGGCAUAUACUGACGCUCAGGGACGAAAGCGUGGGGAGCGAAGGGGAUUAGAUACCCCGGUAGUC
rnacentral:rRNA from 1 species